UCUCUAAAUUCUGAGGCUAAUGUAUUAUUUUCUUCUGUCCCUGUUUAAACAUCCCACAUUACAGCUACAUGAGUAAACGUUUGAUGACAGAGACAGAUUUCCUUACAAUUUCUAAUAUCCCUUAUUAAGUUUUGUCCAGCUCAUGAACUGAAAUGUUUUUCUUGUAUUGCGAGGAAUUACUUCCCAUUUUAGUAGGGCAACUAUUUUCCUUUUACUCACAGUCAAAGCACACAGGACAUUUACUUCCUCUUCUAGUGUCUGACAAUAAACAUUACCUGUUUCAAAUAAACACAUUAAGUUACAGUAUUUUCUAACCAACAUCCAAGGAUUUAGAACUAAGACUUACAUUUUAAGUACAUUCCGUAUAAAACAAAGUUCAGUUCUAUCUAUUCACCAAUAAGUUCACCAUAAAGUAUUGUGGUGAUUAUGUAAUAAUGUGCUUUGUGGUCUUGUUGCACCACAGCAUUUAGUAAUAAUUAGGUCAUAAUAAAGAGUUCUCUUUUGCUUGCAAAUGCCCUAUCAAAACACAACGGUUUCUACUUCCAAAAUUUACUUGUCAGAACAAUUAAUUACUGUUGUCCUCAUGGGAGCUGAUGUUGAAUAGCUCAACAAUGCCCUAAGAAAAGUUAAUGAAAUGUGUCUAUAAGUCAGUAUCUGCAGUAAGAUCAUACAAAAAAAGAAAAUAUAUAGAUUAUUUACUAUGAAGUAGCCAUGCUUAAAUGUUGUGUUUUUCUUUAUGAUGUUACAGUAUGAGGUGUAGAAUAUCUAAAAAGACAAACUGGGUGCUGGAAAGAAGAAAAAGUCUUUUUCUGUGUCUACACAUCACAAAGUAUUAUCCACAAUGUUUUCUUUAAGAGAGUUUGUCUAUGACACAUCUUCACAGACCACAGCUAACCACUAACCACGAUUUCCUGUAACGUAUUUGACAUACUUUUAAUACAGUUCAGCUCCAAUCUACUACUGCUGGACAACUAUGUUGAUGUCUGUGAGAGGAGAUAAGAGUCACCUCCUCUGCAGGCCUGGAUGGUAGUCUUGGGUUUGUUCAGCAGCAGUCUGAAUUAGACAUAUCCACUGGGUAUCUUCCAAAGUUUCAGUCGUUUUAGUGCAGAAUUCCACCCACAUGCGGCGCUGUGACAUAUAAUACUAACACAAAGCAGUCACACUGUACCAUCAUUAGAUACGACAGAUCGAAUCGAAAUGUGUUUCUCCAAACUGCAUGACAUUUCUAAUAUGCUUUUCUUUUUGUCUUUAUGUCUGCUGUCGUGAUUACUUCAGAUUACUCAAACUUCUCUUAUAUGUUGAUUACUUGAGUUCACAAACAUCACAAACAGCUUCUUUCUCUUAGCCAUCAGGACUCUGAACUCCUCCCUGUUGCUCCCUCCUCACAUAACACUGACAUCCAUUACCCUGAUUGUCUGCUGUUGUCCAUUUAUGUAUUUGUGCUGCUGAGAAUAAUAUACUGUACCAAAAAACAUUUUUUAAAUCUAUCCAUCUAAGCUCAUGUUACUUUUUCUUCACAAACAUUGCUUGCAUUUAUUAGGUUUAUUUAGUGAGUAAAGAUUUGUGUUUAAGUCUAAACGUUAUGUUUUUAAUUGACCUUGUUAAAAUGCUUGCAGCUAUAUGUGCAUGUAGGUACAAAGGUACAAGCCAAGGAAUCAACUUAAGUCAAGUUUAUUUGGAUAGCUCAUUGUCACACAUCAAGUAAAAGAGCAUGACAUAGGCUUAGGCCCACAACAGCAGACAUCCCCAGCCUAGCCCAACUAUUCAUACAAGAAAACCAUUUGAAAAUAUCAUAGUGCUGAAUAUUGGUGUCCUACCUGGACAACAUUUACACAAGCAAGAACAAAAAUAAAUGCCCAUUCAUUGUUGAGAUGUCACAUUAAGAAUCAAAACAAGCUUUUAGGGAGCUUAAUUAUGCACAGUUAUUAAUGUUUCAUGCUAAAGUACUGAUGAUUAACAGGGGCACUGUGUCUGAGUUAAUGGCAGUGCUGUCUGGUGUCUUAUAACUUUUAAGAAAUUUAAAAUGAAAAACAUAGUUGCUUUGGCUGUAUAGAAAAUCCAAGUGAUUUCAUAAAUUAGAUUUCUUGUGUUUUAAAA